UUUCCGUAGGUGAACCUGCGGAAGGAUCAUUCUUGUAUAACGUUUGAUCGAGCGCUGUCGCUGACCCUAAAGGUUGUGCACGCCCGAAUUCCCUCACCCUCAUCCAUCUCACCCCUACGUCCACCACCGCGUGUGUCCCUUUUUCUCUUGUUUGGAGUGGGGCUUCCGCUUUCACACAAACUUUCUACGACGUAUCGCUUGUCUUUUUUGUUUUUGCGAACACGCAAUCAAUACAACUUUCAACAACUGAUCUCUUGUCUCACGCAGCGAUGAAGAACG
rnacentral:misc_RNA from 1 species